UUUCAGAAGAGUGUUUUCUGGUUAGCUUGACACUUUGACAGUGUUCACGUGCAUACAUACAACGUUGUGUUAAAUAUGAAAUUUUCAUCUUUUUAUCUUUUUGUCAACAUAAUUAAACUAAUCGCCUUAUCAGCCUUGUUUCUUGGCAAUUCGUAGCUUAUUGUUUGUUCACAUUUUCAGGUGGCACUACAUAGGACGUCUGUAUCGCAGCAAAAGAACCUUCUCGAGCCAAGAUCUCGUAGUCAUUACCGGCGCUUCAUCCGGGAUUGGACUUGCGGUGGUCAAAGACCUGGUGAGACGUGGCUGCCACUUGGUGC
rnacentral:misc_RNA from 1 species